GCAUGUAAUGCCUCCCCAAGGUUUUCCAACGGCUAUAUAUGAGUAUUCCACUCUUUGAUACCGCAGUUAUAGGUCUGAAAGUUCUAGAUCUAGUAUAGUCGGUCAUCUAAAGUGGUAGUCAAUCUUAUGAAGGCGAUUGAGUGUCGAUAGAAGAUCAUCUGCUCUCGGUGUCAUGAAAGGAAUGUCUCAAGUGUUCUCGCUUAGGCAAAU
rnacentral:lncRNA from 1 species